rnacentral:rRNA from 1 species
GUAGGGAAUCUUGCGCAAUGGGCGAAAGCCUGACGCAGCCAUGCCGCGUGAAUGAUGAAGGUCUUAGGAUUGUAAAAUUCUUUCACCGGGGACGAUAAUGACGGUACCCGGAGAAGAAGCCCCGGCUAACUUCGUGCCAGCAGCCGCGGUAAUACGAAGGGGGCUAGCGUUGCUCGGAAUUACUGGGCGUAAAGGGCGCGUAGGCGGACAGUUUAGUCAGAGGUGAAAGCCCAGGGCUCAACCUUGGAAUUGCCUUUGAUACUGGCUGUCUUGAGUACGGGAGAGGUGAGUGGAACUCCGAGUGUAGAGGUGAAAUUCGUAGAUAUUCGGAAGAACACCAGUGGCGAAGGCGACUCACUGGCCCGUUACUGACGCUGAGGCGCGAAAGCGUGGGGAGCAAACAGGAUUAGAUACCCCAGUAGUCC